AACGCUGGCGGCGUGCCUAACACAUGCAAGUCGUACGAGAAAGUUGGCUUCGGCUGAUGAGUAAAGUGGCGCACGGGUGAGUAACGCGUGGAUAAUCUGCCUUUUAGUUGGGAAUAACGUACCGAAAGGUGCGCUAAUACCGGAUAAUACUGCAUAACUACUGUUGUGUAGUCAAAGAAGGCCUCUGUUUACAAGCUUUUGCUGAAAGAUGAGUCCGCGUACCAUUAGCUAGUUGGUAGGGUAAUGGCCUACCAAGGCUACGAUGGUUAGCUGGUCUGAGAGGAUGAUCAGCCACACUGGAACUGAGACACGGUCCAGACUCCUACGGGAGGCAGCAGUGAGGAAUAUUGCGCAAUGGGGGCAACCCUGACGCAGCAACGCCGCGUGAGUGAGGAAGGUUUUCGGACCGUAAAGCUCUGUCGAGCGGGAAGAAAUGUAUCGUGGCUAAUAUCCAUGAUAUUUGACGGUACCGCUAAAGGAAGCACCGGCUAACUCCGUG
rnacentral:rRNA from 1 species